rnacentral:rRNA from 1 species
CACGUAGGCGGGUCUUUAAGUCAGGGGUGAAAUCCUGGAGCUCAACUCCAGAACUGCCUUUGAUACUGAGGAUCUCGAGUCCGGGAGAGGUGAGUGGAACUCCGAGUGUAGAGGUGAAAUUCGUAGAUAUUCGGAAGAACACCAGUGGCGAAGGCGGCUCACUGGCCCGGUACUGACGCUGAGGUGCGAAAGCGUGGGGAGCAAACA